rnacentral:lncRNA from 1 species
UCUAACUCAUUUUGAUUUCCAUUCUAAGACAAAGUAAAUACAUUAAUGGAAAUCUAGCUCAUUUUGAUUCUAAUUUAUACAAUUCAAGUAAAUAACUUAUUUUGAUUCUCAUUUCCUAUCCUCAUUCUAGCUCAUUCUGAUUCCUGCUCAUUCUAAUUCCAGCUCCAUUCUGAUUUUCGUUUAAUAAACACACCAUUGAUGUAGAGUCAAACUAGUAUAUGGCUACAUGAAGAACUACAUGAUAAAUCAUACAAAACCUAGAAAAGACUAUUGGCCUAAUUUGUAAAUAUAAUAAUGAGCAGCACGUGAUUACUAACAAAAUCAUGAGUUUAAAGCUCUAACAGUGGAGAUUUAGAUCUAAAAUUAAAGCCUCCCGCCAAACCCACCUUUUUUCAUCUAUAUAUACAUGCCAAAAUGUUUGAGAAAAAACCUUUGGCCAUCCUCUCAUUAAUAAGAGAAAAUUAGAACUGGAAUUUUACUAAAUUCAAAUAAACAAAUCUAACAAGAGUGUCGAAGUGCUUUCCCAAGUACAAGUUCGAGUUAAAUUAGUGGAUAAGUGAAGAAUGAUCAGGAAUAAAUAGUAGGUUUGUUUAAAUUAUAAACUGGACUAUUAAAGGAUUUUGUAUGCUUCAUAUACAAUGAUAAACAAAUUUAAUACAUAUAACGUCAGUCCAUGUUAGAUAAAAUAUUUUGCUAAAUUAUAGCUUAAAGUCUAAUGCACCCAUAAGAUAAGAAUAUUUGAAUUAAAUAACAUAAUAAAAAUAAAAUUAUGAAAAAAUUAUAAUAAUUUUUGUAAUAGAACUAUUGGGGUUACAUAAUUUGUUAUGAGUGUAAGAAAAAGUACCAUAAUAUUUAUAAAAAAAAAGUAAAUAUAUAGAGUGUAACGUGUUAAAUGAAAUUUGAUAAUAAAUGUAAAAAAAAAAAAAAAAAUACCUUGAUACUUAAAUGUCUAUUGUAAUUAAAAAGGAGUUUAAGGCUCUAAAUUAAACAUGUCAAUCGUUUGGUCUCAUAAUAAUAGCAAAGAGGGGGUAUUGUGACAUACGUGCAAUAUAGAGCAAAACAUUUGUAGAUAUGAAAUAGUAUAAGGAUAUAAAAAUAGUAAAUGUGCCUAUGGAUGGAGGCAGAAAUUAGUUUAAUAAUUAUGGGGAGAAAUUUAAAUAAAAAUGAGGGCAAGGGGGUUACGUAAAAAUUUAGAGUGAUGCUGUCACAAAAGACAAAAGAAGUUUUAUGGUGCCGUGUCGCAGCAUAACUGGACCCUUCGUGGUGGGUCUUGCUUGUCUACGCGAAAAAAAAUUUCAAGCAUUUGUGGGAUGGGAAAUUGGGAUCACAAUGGCCAUUAAAAUAAUUGUGUCUCAAUUCUCAAAUGGGAAUCAUGAUGUCUCAAAUCGGUUAAUUAAUAUAAAUUAAUUACUUUUAAUUAAUCGUGCGCCAUUGUUCUUAUCCUCCUUGGUUAAUUAAUUAAUUAUUCAUUCAUUCAUUCAUUCAUUCAUUCUUGUGAUCAAAGCAGCAGCCGCAGUGUUUUAAUUGUUUAAGUCAGAUUAUUACAAGAAGAUCAUGCACGUGCAUUCCCUUAAGAAGCAUUUGAAGAUCAUUGGAGAAGGAAGUAUACUUUCUUUUAAUUUAUCCUCACAACUAAUAAUUAAUCGUUAUAAUAAUUAUAAUAAUGAUGGCCAUUUUCCCAUGCACUUUGUUUGGUAUCCUUUAAUUUGCGCAGUAAAGCUCACCAAUUCUUUAACCGAUAACAGGACAAAGAAUCAAAUGUUCUUUUCAUUUUUUUAUUUUCCCUCUCUUUAAUACAAAAAAAAUAAAAGAUUUGAGGAAAUAUAGAGUAACAUGGUGGAUAUCAAAGAAAGAUUCGUAAAAGAAGAAAAAUAAGGAGUGAAUAAGAAACAAGUAAUGUUAUAAGGAACACUCUUUAAGAUUUUUUUUUUUUUUUUUCCUAAUGUUAACGAUGAUAAUUGAUGGAAUCGAUGAGAUGAGGAUCUAAUUAAUUAAUUAAGCAGCUUAAAGCAAUUACUGAUCAUCACUAAUACGUCCACCAAAUUACCUGGCAAGAUUUGAGAGCACCUUGCAUGCAGCCAUAAGCUCAAAACAGUAGUGAUAUUUUGGUGGACAUAAUAGUGACAGUGUAUGGUUGAUUAAAUUAACCUUCAGAAUUCAAGAAGUGUUUCCAUUAAACAUCCACUUACUUGAGUUUUACUCAAGAAGUGCUCAAACAGAUCAUAAGAGAGUCUAAAUUCUUGAAUCUUAUCAAAUUAUAU